UAUAUACUCCCUCCGUCCCGAAUUACUUGUCGCAAAAAUGGAUGUAUCUAGACGUAUUUUUAGUUCUAGAUACAUCCGUUUCAAUCCAUUUUCAGGACAUAAUUCGGGAUGGGGCAGUACUUU
rfam:Triticum aestivum genome assembly, contig: Triticum_aestivum_CS42_TGACv1_scaffold_133296_2BL